UAUGCUUGUAGUCACACAUCUUCUGAUCACACUCCAGUGAGGGAAUUAAGGACGGCACAUUGUCCUUGUAACGGGGAUCCAGCAGGAUGGCCACCCAGUAAUCAACGCAUUCGGAUGUCUGCCCUAUCAACUUUCAAUGGUACUUUCUGCACCUACCAUGGUGACCAUGGGUAACAGGGAAUCAGGGUUCGAUUCCGGUGAGGGAGCCUGAGAAACGGUUACCACAUCCAAGGAAGGCAGCAGGCGUGCAAAUUACCCCCUCCCGACGUGGGGAGGUAGUGACGAUAAAUUACAAUACAGGACUUUUUCAAGGCCCUGUAAUUGGAAUGAGUACCCUUUAAAUCCUUUAAUGAGGAUCUAUUGGAGGGCAAGUCUGGUGCAGAGCGACUGACCCGUGUGUGUUGCAGCUGAAACUCCACUA